rnacentral:rRNA from 1 species
GUGAGUGGCGAACUGGUGAGUAACACGUGGGAAACCUGCCCAGAAGCGGGGGAUAACACCUGGAAACAGAUGCUAAUACCGCAUAACAACUUGGACCGCAUGGUCCGAGUUUGAAAGAUGGCUUCGGCUAUCACUUUUGGAUGGUCCCGCGGCGUAUUAGCGAGAUGGUGGGGUAACGGCUCACCAUGGCAAUGAUACGUAGCCGACCUGAGAGGGUAAUCGGCCACAUUGGGACUGAGACACGGCCCAAACUCCUACGGGAGGCAGCAGUAGGGAAUCUUCCACAAUGGACGAAAGUCUGAUGGAGCAACGCCGCGUGAGUGAAGAAGGGUUUCGGCUCGUAAAACUCUGUUGUUAAAGAAGAACAUAUCUGAGAGUAACUGUUCAGGUAUUGACGGUAUUUAACCAGAAAGCCACGGCUAACUACGUGCCAGCAGCCGCGGUAAUACGUAGGUGGCAAGCGUUGUCCGGAUUUAUUGGGCGUAAAGCGAGCGCAGGCGGUUUUUUAAGUCUGAUGUGAAAGCCUUCGGCUCAACCGAAGAAGUGCAUCGGAAACUGGGAAACUUGAGUGCAGAAGAGGACAGUGGAACUCCAUGUGUAGCGGUGAAAUGCGUAGAUAUAUGGAAGAACACCAGUGGCGAAGGCGGCUGUCUGGUCUGUAACUGACGCUGAGGCUCGAAAGUAUGGGUAGCAAACAGGAUUAGAUACCCUGGUAGUCCAUACCGUAAACGAUGAAUGCUAAGUGUUGGAGGGUUUCCGCCCUUCAGUGCUGCAGCUAACGCAUUAAGCAUUCCGCCUGGGGAGUACGGCCGCAAGGCUGAAACUCAAAGGAAUUGACGGGGGCCCGCACAAGCGGUGGAGCAUGUGGUUUAAUUCGAAGCUACGCGAAGAACCUUACCAGGUCUUGACAUACUAUGCAAAUCUAAGAGAUUAGACGUUCCCUUCGGGGACAUGGAUACAGGUGGUGCAUGGUUGUCGUCAGCUCGUGUCGUGAGAUGUUGGGUUAAGUCCCGCAACGAGCGCAACCCUUAUUAUCAGUUGCCAGCAUUAAGUUGGGCACUCUGGUGAGACUGCCGGUGACAAACCGGAGGAAGGUGGGGAUGACGUCAAAUCAUCAUGCCCCUUAUGACCUGGGCUACACACGUGCUACAAUGGAUGGUACAACGAGUUGCGAACUCGCGAGAGUAAGCUAAUCUCUUAAAGCCAUUCUCAGUUCGGAUUGUAGGCUGCAACUCGCCUACAUGAAGUCGGAAUCGCUAGUAAUCGCGGAUCAGCAUGCCGCGGUGAAUACGUUCCCGGGCCUUGUACACACCGCCCGUCACACCAU